rnacentral:rRNA from 1 species
UACGUAGGGUGCGAGCGUUGUCCGGAAUUACUGGGCGUAAAGAGCUCGUAGGUGGUUUGUCGCGUUGUUCGUGAAAACCUGAGGCUUAACCUUGGGCGUGCGGGCGAUACGGGCAGACUGGAGUACUGCAGGGGAGACUGGAAUUCCUGGUGUAGCGGUGGAAUGCGCAGAUAUCAGGAGGAGCACCGGUGGCGAAGGCGGGUCUCUGGGCAGUAACUGACGCUGAGGAGCGAAAGCGUGGGGAGCGAACAGG